UUUUUUUUUUUUUUGGUGCUUCUGUACUAAUCUUCAAUGUGCUCCUCUGAUAUGGUUUUCAAAUCUCCAAACUGAGCUAAAAUGGAAAUGACAGAUUUUCCGUUAGGCAAAAAUAGCAAUGAAGUGCUAGGAAACGUACAUUGUGAAUAAAAUAAUCUUUAGAAAAGAAGAUAUGAAAUGAGAUUAUUUUUAUAGUAUAACAUGGAUCCAAUCAUAGAAGCAUAUUUGGGGUAAUUAUAUCAAUUUUUAAAAUUCAAAAACUGUUUAAAAAUUAAGGCACUAAAUGCUAAGCUAUGCUGUAUUUCCAGCCUUGGUUUAUACUUCCAUUUGAAUUAAGUAGAAAUCAGUACAGAGUAUUUAUUGCUAUUAACCACAGCACCAGAGGAAGCAAAGCAUGGUAUACUUGGAACUCAAAAUUCUCAAAAUUUAGGAAGAGGGGAAAAAGUUUUAGGGCCGAGCUUUAAUCGCAGUUACUACAUGCACUGUUUUCUCAGCUGCUGUCUUCCUCUUCCUAAGGAGUUUAGUGAUGAAAAUACAUUAUGAAAGUCAUGGUUUUCCAGUAAAGUUUAAGAUAAUGAGAAGCUCUCAUUUUAGAAAAUGAGUAACAACAGGUACACUAUAUGAUUAUGUUUCUAAUAAAGUUAAUGGAAUUGAUUUAUGGCUUAAAAUAAUCAAGGACUCACAGCACCGAACAUUCUUUUAAAUAGAAGUGCUGCACAUUACUCUAUACCAUAGUGACAUUAUCAAACACGUUACUGCAAUUAUAGACAUCAUAACAUUAUCGAUUAUAAUUGCUGGGCUAAAUAAUGGAAACUUGCAAGACAUUGUAUGACAACAAAUAUAGUUAAUAAUCUUAAAUAAACUCAAACUUACUUCGAUAUCCACGCUUUUAAGUAAUUCAAGACAUGAGAAAUGAAUUUUUUAAAAAACCAGAUCAUGAAAGCCAUUAUUAUUUGAAGGAAUAUGCUCAAUUUUUUUAGAUAAUUUCAAUUAUUUAAGAGUCCUUUGCAUUUUUUAUUAGCUUUGCCUAAAGUUAUAACAUUAAAGCAUUAAGGUUACGUGUAAUGAGGUUCUGGUUUGCCCUCAUUUCUACGUUCCAUAUUUUCACAAACUACAAAUGGAGAUGAGUGCUAAAUUACAAAGCUAAUUCUAUCAAAUAAAAUCAUCUCAUUCUUAGAUAUGCAGCUGAAGAAAAUGUUUAACUACACAGUGUAUAUUCACAUACAAACAAUCACAGGUACCCAUCUGGAAAAAAAAAAAAAAAAGAUCACGGAGUGGACACUGAUCAGAGGGAACCUGUACAAAAAUUUUCCCUAAAGUGUCUGUUAAAAAAAAAAAAAAAUUCUCUGCCAAGUCCAACCAGCUACAAAUAACAUGUACCUAAAGCAGCCUAUUAUUCAGAUGGAUAGUCUUAAAUAUCGAAAGUUUGUUUUGACAUUUUACAGACAGAAGCAACAUCUCUGUCAUUGAAAUCUCCAUUACUAGAAAAUGACCAGAGCUUGCAAACCAAGGGCUGGAUUCAAAAAUGUAUUUAAGAUUAGAGAGGAAUUUAAGCUCAAACUCCUCAAAGAUGACGGACAUCAAUUCUCAUUAGCAAAUAACAAAACCAACAGCUCAUGAACAACAGCAUUCUGAGCAAUAUUAUAGCUAGUGCUGAGUGUUAAAAAAAUUGUCCCUUGCUCACUUUUGGUGUGAAGACAUUUUUAUUUUGACCCAUCGUUUCAUUUCAGUUUUCACACCCUCCAGUGCAGGAAAGCCGGAUUUACACUGCUGUUGGGUUUUGAAGGCACCUCCCAGUAUAAUUUCACUUGAGCAUAAUUACAUCCUGUGAGGGCGACAGACCAAGGCUGCUGGUAUUUUGCAGACGAGGAAACUUAUUUUAGGACCCAAUGCAUUCGAGAACCGAAAACAGAAUUUUGCUUGACUCCAAUUCCCCUUACGACCUGCUCCAAACUGCACAUCCCUGGGACGGCUCUGUCCCCAGCUGAAGGAAAAGAGUCCUUUUUCCUAAAGGGGUCGGGGUCACUUUGGCUUCCAGAAUGAUAUUUUACCAAAAUUGGCAGUCACUCUAUAAAGGAUGUUCACUCGCACACAGCCCUCUGGUUUCCCUUACAAUUCAACAGCUACAAGCAUUUCAGAAAUUUUCUAAAAAGCCAUCUUCUCUGAACCAACAUUGAAUGAACCCCUGCCCCUCCGUUUCCCUCCUCAUGUUAGAAGACACACACAGGAGAAAGGACCCCUGGUUGGCUCCCAGGUAAUCGCCUGGGUUCAGCCAUAACACAGUCAGAGGACCUUUUAUGUCUCGGGGCACUGCUGGUGACCAAACCUGCUGAGCACUGCACGAGCCUCAGGCUACCUGGGGCUGUUCCUUCCCUGAGUUUACGUCCUGUUUUCCUUAGACCAUGAGUCUGCUUGGGAAAGACUGCGGCCGAAUUCUAUGUUUGAAAUGCCCCUAGCACACAGUUGGCACUUAAAUAUAAUUAUUCAAAAUGGAAUCAUUUAAUUAGCUAGGAAGAGAAAUAGAAGCCCUGAGACGAUAAUAAAGAAUACAGCAAAUAUGCUGACCGACUGAAGCAAAGCAACAGAUAGAGACCAAAGCGCACUUGCAAGAUGCUACAUUUCAGGUUUUCAGUUCAGGGUGCACGUGACGGGAUAAACACACAGUUUUAUAUACCUUGCUUUUGCUGGGUUCACAGAAAACAGAGAGCACGGGUGAUGUCGAUAGCUCCGCUGAGGACUAGGAAUUCUCUGUCUCAUGCCUCCUGUGACUUAGCUCCUUGGGAAAGCUGGCGGAGGGAGAAAGUGGUAGAAAGCCAUGGAAGCAGGGAAGGAUGGCGACUCCACAGAGCGUGAGUGUGCGAACCAGGAAUUGGGAAUGAGUCGUGUGUCCAUCUGGAUGGAACAGGUUAUUUUACACCAAUGAAAUCUACUUGGUGGGCAGCUGGAGACCGGGACAAUGUGAGGUCAUUCGCUCCCUGUCCUUGAGGAGCAUGACAUUCUGGGUGCCAGGCAUGGAAGCCUUUCAGAGUACUACACAGAACCAGAGACUCCUGGGCAACUGAACCCCCUUGUUUUGGGCUAUGAGAUGGCCAGUGCUCCAGGCUGCACUUGGGACCAUUGGGGGGCCAGUCUCACCCCUCCCCAGGCUAAAUUCCAGAGCCCUCUAAUCCAUGUUUGUUCUUAUCUUCUGUUCCCCAAACCCCAACCAGUCUCCAACCGCUGAGAUACAGAAAGAUCUAAAAUAUUUUUUUAUUUAGAAAACAGAGACGACUUUCAUGUUAUGCCCUGUACAAGGCAUUAUGUAGAUGCCCAAGGAAUAAGACCUUGUACUUAAGUGCCAGAUAUUUUCUUAAGAGAAUUCACAUCUCAACAAGUAGAAAACGUCUUACGUCAGACAUCACUCAGUUACAAAAUCACACAAGUUUUAUAAUGACGUUUAUACACUGACUGUAAAGGGCUGAACAAUUUUAUUUCUUUGCCUUUUUAGGAUUGCACCUGUGGGCACACGGAAGUUCCCAGGCUAGGGAGGUCAAAUCAGAGCUUUAGCUGCCAGCCUACGCUACAGCCACAGCAACGUGGGAUCCGAGCUGCGUGUGCAAAUCUACACCACAGCUCACGGCAACGCCAGAUCCCGGACCCACUGAGCAAGGUCAGGGAUCGAACCCGCAUCCUCAUUAAAGCAGUCAUUUUUAACGUGCCUACGCUGGUGGCAUGAAGUUUCUCCCUUGAGAGUACCUAUGCGACACUCUCCUCAAACAAGAGUUAAACGGCUGCUCAAGCCACAGAGUGGCAUCUGCUCUUAGUCUAGCAAGAGUGAUAUUUUUACAUAAUAAACAAUAAACAGACAAGUCUGUUGUGUACUACCUGAGUAAUAGCUAAGAGAAGAAAACAGUGAGAAUGGAGAAGAGAGAAACCUAAGGAAACAUUUUUCAAGGUCCCAACAUGAGGAGAAACACUUAUAAGAUGGGCUUUGGGGGCAAUUUCUCGUUUCACGUCUUUGCACACAUGCAUAAGGAUUUUAACUGCUCAAUUUCCAGCCCUUCUCCCAGCCUUACAGACCCCAGCUGAGCACUGGGAGGCCCACACCUACUUUCUUCGUUUAUGUUCCUUUCAUCUUGGGACUCAAAGCACUCAAGUUAAAAGAACAAUACAGCUUUAAAGAAAUAGGAUAUGAACUUUUUUUUUAAGACAAAAAAAACUGAAUUAUGGUUGGAUUGGGCAAC
rnacentral:lncRNA from 1 species